GGAAGACGUACAACCAGAGUGCACCUUAGAGGAAAUGCAGGUGGAGUUCCUUCUCUUGAGUGCUUCCAAAAUCCCGCAAUCACAAUGUCUGUGAUUCAGAUGGUACGAUAUGAUGUUAAGGACUAUGGUGUGUAAGUCGCUGCUAGGAGAAGCUCUGCAGAGAUCAAAGGAACUGCCUUAGGGCUUAGGUAUCAUUAGCUUUUCUUUUUCAGCUGUAGAGUCAUAAGUGAAUAUCCCUUCUCCCUUUCCCAGAGUCUCUGCUGACAUACUUAAAGGGGACACAGAGGUCCCAAGACCUGU